rnacentral:lncRNA from 1 species
UCCGAAACCCACCAAACUUCGAAUGAAAAUGAGUGCCAAAGAAAUCAUUGUAAGAAAGGCUGAGUGAUUGUAGGUGAGAAAGAUGAAAAAGAGUACUAUUAGGAGAAAUAUUACCUUGAAGACUUUCACAGCCAAGGUUGAGACCAAUCACAUGACCAGAGACAGUAUCACAGGUGACACCAUGCCAUGAACAACAAUUUGUCCCAUUUUUCCAUGUUGCAGUUUUCUGAGGUUGUUCCUGACAAGCAUAGUUUGUAUAUGUAGUCAAAGAGGACUUAAAUUGAAUCAAAUCAUUGCUAUCUUGAGGAUUACAUAAAAAAUUAGAAGAAGAAGUUGAGAAGGAUGGAAAAAUGAAGAGCAAAAUAUGGACAUACAGAAUAAACAACCUCAUGGUGGUGAAGUUAUUUUGAUUGAUGAAUUCAAAUUUUGUGAGAAGUGUUUUAUACUAAUUUUCUUUGACUUUUGGAAGUUCUUCAAAGAUUGAACUUGUCUCAAAAUUUCUUUAAUUUCAUAUCUCUAGUGUUUGCUUUUAUUUGACCGGAUCACGUAGCUUAUAUUUUUGAAAAUAGUAUAAUAAUACUCUUUCAAACAUGUAUGCUAUUGUUAGUAGCUGUCAGAUUCAAUGCCAACAAAUCUAUAAAAGCAGUCAACAAAAGCGGCUCACCACAGAAUUCAACUGGCCUUAUCUAUAUAUCAAUCCAAAUUUCUUCAUAAUUAAUAUUUUCUAAAGCUAAAAUGUAAACUUAACUACAUUAAUGCUAAAUGUAAAACUAAACUCUUAAUAGCCUCCUUCAAGCUUAAGCAUGAUAUAUGUUAAAAUAAAGAACAUGUGGUUUGAUGCAAUGUGUAUAGCGCUGUGAUUGUCAAAAUAAAGAACAUGUGGUUUGAUAUGUUCAACCUUUAAGUACUGAAGUAGUUAAAGGAGCCGAUCACAAGUAGCUGAAGACAAUGCUCGAUACUCUGCCUCAUACGAGGACCUUGAUACAGUAGCUUGUUUCAUUGGAUGCUGCAAUAUCAAUGAGGUACCUCUAAAGAAGCAAUGACCAGAUAUUGAUCUUCUACUGUCCAAAGCAACCUGUCCAGUCAUGUAAUGGCCCAAUCUCAGGCCAUGACCGGGCCACAGGCUAACACUAACUCAUCAUAUAGUUAGUCUCGCAAGCCUAAGACACUGUAACACAUAUACUUAUUAUAUACAUACUUAUUGAAAUUUAACAGUGUCUCAUCUAUUUUCAUAACAUAGUUAAUUGAGUCAUUCCAAAGUAAAUUUCGAUUUUUAAUCCCGUCCUUUUUCUAACGGAUUCAGGUUUCAUUCCAAAUCAAUGUAUGUACAGGAAGUUACGGACAUUUUACUCACUGGGUCUACACGAGUUUAAGGGUUCAAAUCUCCCAUUUUCUCAAUUUCUUACUAAAUCCAUGAUUUCCAUGAAUUUAACCUAACUUCCAUUAACCUUAACAAAAUUAUAAGUAAACACAAGCAGGAUUGUAUUAAUAUUCUAACUCUAUCCCUAAUUUCUAUGUUCAUCAAAUAUCUCAAAUUGUCCUUAAUUCUAACCUAAUUUCAUGGAUUCUCUAUGAAAUUCAUCAUAAUCAUACGUUGCAUAUACAAUCAGCCCUUCAUUGCUACCCAUAAGGUUCAUUCCCAAUUCAUAACACUAACCCAAAAUUAAAACUUAAUAAGAAUUCGCCUUUGAUUCUUUGAAAAUAGAUUCUGGCUUAUGAGGGUUUGUAGAGAGAAAGAGUGAAGAAAAAUUGUUUUUUUUUCAACUCAUGAAUUUUUCUUAAAUACUUUCCAAAUUAAUUUACCAUCUUGCCCUUGUUACUACUAACAAAAUUCCAAUGCUAUCCUUACUUACUCUAAUCAUUUCUAUCACGUUUUCAUGUCUCAUAUCUCAACUUAAUUUAUUCUCAAUCCUCUAAUUAGUUCUUAAUACACUUGCAAAUGAGUACUAAUUAGUAUCUUAAUAACUGCAAAUAUGCCUUGUCCUGGACUAUUUUCAAGUACUUUAUGACUCUACAAGGAACAUUGAAGUGUGUUACGGUGGGUGCAUGAAUGAACCGGCUCAAUUGUUUUGUUGUUCUUAUAAUUGAGUAUUAGGCCUAACUCAUCCUUACAAAACCGGCUUGUAAGGUGAGAUUGUCCUCACUUAUAAGCACAUAUCGAGGUCAUCUCGCAAUCGACCUGGGACUUCUUAACAGUUGUAAAGGUAAUGUCAGGUCUAGUUGUGUUCAAAUACACUGAUUUUCUCACCAUUCUGCAUAAGGCUUUCCUGAAUCACUAUGAAGCUUGAUGAAAGUGUCAAGUGGAGUACUUGCAGUCUUUGGUCCUGAAUCUUAAAGAAGAUCAAGGGAAUACUUCUCUGAGAGAUAGCUAUUCCUGAUUUUGAAUGUGUAACUUCCAAUCCAAGAAAGUGCUUCAACUGUCCCAAAUUUUUUAUUUUAAAAGCUGCAUCAAGUAUAUCUUUGAUUAUGUCGCAUAACCAUUUUAUCUCAAGGAAAUUUCAAACUUUCUGCUCAAUGAUUCUCAUUCAAGGGAAAGAUCCUAUCCCAAAGUUGUUUAUGAUAAUCUACAUAUAUUUAGUGCUUUCAAUAGCAUUAAUCUUCGGUUAAAAUGCAAAUCCUAAUGUGAUGUGAUGAAAGCCUUCACUGUGCUCAAUUGAAUGAAUGAAAUUUGCAUGAGUUUGUGAUCAGAAUGAUUCUCCUUGGUCAUAGAUCGCAAACUCAGUGUGAUCUAAUAACAGUUUGAGACGUUGAGCUUAUUAGAGCUCCAUAGAAGAGUUGAAAGAGUAACUGUUUCAUUAAGAAAAUAAGUGAAAUAUUCAAGAUAUUAAAAUGAUAAGUAGAAAAUGGGGUGAAACUGGCAUUGUUUCAUUAAGAAUCUAGAACAACUUUCCGAGACAAGACAAAGGAGUAAAAAACAAGCAAAGCAUGUAAUCAUUUGUAACAAAAACAAAUGGCUUCUUAGCCGCACAAGAAUAUUCAUCAAGUUUGGCGUGGAAAGACCCAAAAACCUUUCAUUGAGUCAAUAUCCUGAGAGCCGAUACCCUAAUCAAACAGUUGUAGAUUGCAAUAUGCAAAGAUAAGUGUAUGGUACAACAAAUGAAUGGUUAACCUAAAAUGCUUCUUUUUGGCUUCUUACAAGAUUUACUUGCUCACACAGUUGCAACACAAAAUCAAGCAUACAAGAUAUAUAUAGCAACAAACAAAGAGGAAACAACAUGCACUUUUAUUUAUUAAUAACACUGCCUAAAUAAAGCAUAGUACAUUCACAAUACAUUCAUGCAAGCAAACUCAAUAAAACUAACACGGAAGAGAAAGUAAUCACAACAAUAAAACCACCACAUUUGCACCAUCGAUCUAAUUCCUGGUUGAAACAUUAGUUCUCAACACUCUUGUCCUCCUUGCCACUCUUUGCUUGGGCUAACCUCUAGCCAUCAUCACAAGCCAUCUAGGCUUUCCGAUUAGAUCCUGGUUGAACCAUUAGUUCUCUUCACUCCCUAAGGUGUUGGCUGAAGGUGGAGAAUGUUGCUUAGGUCCGCAUUUCUUUGACAAGGGAAAUCCACAUAACCCCGAGUUUCCUACAUAGGAGUCAUUUGAAAAUGUAUUGAACUGCUUACCUUGAGGUAUUUCUCCCAUUAGAUGGUUAUGGGAAAGGUUCAACACUUCAAGACCAUUCAGAUUGGUUAAUUCUGCAGGAAUCACACCAGUUAAUAUAUUUGAGGAAAGAUCCAAUGAUUCCAAGCUUGACAAGUUUCCUAUGGAUUGGGGAAUAGAACCGGUGAGUCUGUUAUGGGAAAGGUUAAGCCCAUGGAGUGCCUGAAGCUCUCCAAUAACAUUUGGAAUAGUGCCAUAAAAUUUGUUCUCUUGUAGAUCCAAAACUUGAAGGGAUGAUACAUUAGCAAGACAUUGUGGAAUGUUACCUGUCAAUUUGUUGUGUGCCAAGUUGAGCAAUAUAAGCGAACUUUUAUUGCAAAUUGACAAAGAGAUGCCACCAGCUAGUAAGUUAAAACUAAGAUCAAGGCCCUGUAGGUUUUGCCACUGAUUCCUUGUGAAUUGGUCCAUUGAUUCGAACAUGUUAUGAGAGAGGCCCAAAGAUUGUAAUGAAUCUAUGUUGAGCAACCAAUUAGGCAAUCUUCCAAAAAGUUUAUUGUCGGACAAAUCAAGAUAUCUCAAACCAGGGAAUUUUCCUGAUGAUAAUUUUGAAUAUCCGAUCAAACCGACAGAAGACAGUUCCAAUGUUGAUAGGAUAGAAAAGUUGUAAUUGACAGUAGAUUCAAAGUUUAGUGAUAAUUGACUAUUACGUGAAAGAGACAAAGUAUCCAAUUUUUGAAGUUUGGAGAAGUGCUGAAAAUUGACAACACCACUCAAGUUGUUUGAUGAAAGACAUAGUGUAGCUAGGUUUGCAAAGUUGAAAAUAGAUUCUGGAAUAUCUCCUUGUAGUUUGUUGCUGCAUAGUUUAAGAUAAUACAAAGAAUAUGAUGAAAUGACACUUAUAUUUCCUGUAAAUUGAUUAUUUGAUAGAUCCAACAUUCCUAAAGAUGGUAAAGAUAAACACCACGAAGGAAUUUUUCCACUUAGUAAGUUGUUAUUCAAAAAUAAAUAACCUAAGUUUUGGAACCCUGAUAUUUCCUCAGGUAGAGGACCCUUUAAUUUAUUAUUAGAAAAGUCUAAGUAAUCAAGUUGAGAUAACCUAAACAAUGAAGGUGGAAUUUGCCCUUCUAAUCUAUUAUAACCCAGACGGAGUUCUUGUAAUUUGGUUAGUCCGUCAAACACAUCUGGAAUUUGACCACUAAAUGAAUUGGAAGACAGGUCUAAAUUGAUAAGAUGUUGAAGGUUUGAAAGUGAUUUUGGCAACUGGCCAUCAAUUUUGUUACUACUCAAAUCUAACUUUUGAAAUCUAUUUGAUUUGGGAAAUACAUCCGGGAUUUGACCACUUAUGAACAAAUUAUCUUUGAGAGACAAAGAAGUUAGAUUUUGUAGGGUUAAAAGUGAGGAUGGGAUUGAACCAUUAAGUCUGUUAUCAAUGAGACUUAAGGAUGUAAGAUAUGUGAGGUUAGAGAAAGAAAGAGGAAUUGGCCCUGUGAAUGAACAAUAUGAAAGAUCCAAGAUUCUAAGAAAAGUGCUACAACUUAAAUUUGGAAGUUGGCCUUCAAGGUAGUCAUUUUUUGAUAAAUCUAACUCUUGAAGACUCGGUAAACAAAGAAUGUUGUUUUUCCAAUUUCCACUUAUUCCUGAUCUUUGAAGAUUAAGAUUAGUCAAAGAGGAAGAUUGAUUGAAUAUCAAAUUCAACGAGUUUGGAUGGAUUGAAGACAUAUUUGUUUCAUCCAAAAUUAACUCUUCCAAAAUUGUUGCAUUUUGCACAAGGCUUUUCAAAGUGGUUUCUUUCCAACUUAACUGACCAUUUCUAGAAAGAUGAAGUGAUAUUAAUUUGGAAAGGUGUGAGAUUUGAGGAGGAACUUCACCUUGAAAGUUACAUGAAGACAAGUCAAGAUGUGUAAGAUUCUGAAAUCCACCAAACUUAGAAUGAAAAUGAGUGCCAAAGAAAUCAUUGUAAGAAAGGUUGAGUGAUUGUAGGUGAGAAAGCUGAAAAAGGGUACUAUUAGAAUAAAUAUUACCUUGAAGACUUUCACAUCCAAGGUCGAGACCAAUCACAUUAGCAGAGACAGUAUCACAGGUGACACCAUGCCAUGAACAACAAUUUGUCCCAUUUUUCCAUGUUGAUGUUUUUUGAGGUUGUUCCUGACAAGCAUAGUUUGUAUAUGUAGUGAAUGAGGACUUGAAUUGAAGCAAGGCAUAGCUAUCUUCAGGAUGAC